rnacentral:rRNA from 1 species
UACGAAGGGGGCUAGCGUUGCUCGGAAUCACUGGGCGUAAAGGGUGCGUAGGCGGGUUUUUAAGGCAGGGGGGAAAUCCUGGAGCUCAACUCCAGAACUGCCUUUGAUACUGAAGAUCUUGAGUUCGGGAGAGGUGAGUGGAACUGCGAGUGUAGAGGUGAAAUUCGUAGAUAUUCGCAAGAACACCAGUGGCGAAGGCGGCUCACUGGCCCGAUACUGACGCUGAGGCACGAAAGCGUGGGGAGCAAACAGG